AUUGAACGCUGGCGGCAUGCCUAACACAUGCAAGUCGAACGGUAACAGGCCGCAAGGUGCUGACGAGUGGCGGACGGGCGAGUAAGUCAGCGGUACGUGCCCAGCCGUGGGGGGUAGGUGCACGACUGCGGAGAACAUAACGUAAACCAUCAAAGGAUGGAAGGAGGGAAGCGUAAGGCCUCGGGGCAUUUGGACGUCCGAUGUCCGAUUAGGUAGUUGGUUGGGUAGAGGCUCACCAAGCCAACGAUCUGUAGCUGGUCUGAGAGGACGACCAGCCACACUGGAACUGAGACACGGCCCAGACUCCUACGGGAGGCAGCAGUGGGGAAUUUUGGACAAUGGGCGCAAGCCUGAUGCAGCAAUGCCGCGUGCAGGAAGAAGGCCUUCGGGUUGUAAACUGCUUUUGUACGGAACGAAGCGGCUAUGGUUAAUACCCGGGGCUAAUGACGGUACCGUAAGAAUAAGCACCGGCUAACUACGUG
rnacentral:rRNA from 1 species